CACGUAGGGCGCAAGCGUUGUCCGGAAUUACUGGGCGUAAAGAGCUCGUAGGUGGUUUGUCGCGUUGUCCGUGAAAACUCACAACUCAAUUGUGGGCGUGCGGGCGAUACGGGCAGACUGGAGUACUGCAGGGGAGACUGGAAAUUCCUGGUGCAGCGGUGGAAUGCGCAGAUAUCAGGAGGAACACCGGUGGCGAAGGCGGGUCUCUGGGCAGUAACUGACGCUGAGGAGCGAAAGCGUGGGGAGCGAACAGG
rnacentral:rRNA from 1 species